rnacentral:rRNA from 1 species
ACCUAAGGAGGGGGAUAAACCUGGGAAACUGGGUAUAAUCCCCAAUAGGCGACAGAUGCUGGAAUGCUCUGUUGUUAAAAGCCCCGGCGUCUUAGGAUGGGUCUGCGGCUUAUCAGGUUAUUGGUGGGGUAAUGUUCCUACUAGCCUACGAUGGGUACGGGUUGUGAGAGCAAGAGCCCGGAGAUGGAUUCUGAGACACGAAUCCAGGCCCUACGGGGUGCAGCAGGCGCGAAAACUUUACAAUGCGAGAAAUCGUGAUAAGGGAACCCCGAGUGCCCGUAAAUUCGGGCUGUCCGCCAGUGCAAAAAACUGGUGAAGAAAGAGCCGGGCAAGACCGGUGCCAGCCGCCGCGGUAAUACCGGCGGCUCGAGUGGUGGCCACUAUUACUGGGCUUAAAGCGUCCGUAGCUGGGUUGUUAAGUCUUCUGGGAAAUCCAUCGGCUCAACCGAUGGGCGUUCAGGAGAUACUGGCAACCUAGGGACCGGGAGAAGUGAGAGGUACUCCAGGGGUUAGAAUGAAAUCCUUGUAAUCCUUGGGGGACCACCUGUGGCGAAAGCGUCUCACCAGAACGGCUCCGACAGUGAGGGACGAAAGCUGGGGGAGCAAACCGGAUUAGAUACCCGGGUAGUCCCAGCCGUAAACGAUGCGCGUUAGGUGUAUCGGUGACCACGAGUCACCGAGGUGCCGAAGAGAAAUCGUGAAACGUGCCGCCUGGGAGGUACGGUCUCAAGGCUGAAACUUA